rnacentral:tRNA from 1 species
UCCUUGGUGGCUAAGCGGCUAAGACUCUGCACUCCCAGUGCAGGGGCACAGGUUUGAUCCCUGGUCAGGGAA